rnacentral:rRNA from 1 species
GACGGAGGAUGCAAGCGUUAUCCGGAAUGAUUGGGCGUAAAGCGUCCGCAGGUGGCAGUUCAAGUCUGCUGUCAAAGACCGGGGCUUAACUUCGGAAAGGCAGUGGAAACUGAACAGCUAGAGUAUGGUAGGGGCAGAGGGAAUUCCUGGUGUAACGGUGAAAUGCGUAGAGAUCAGGAAGAACAUCGGUGGCGAAGGCGCUCUGCUGGACCAUAACUGACACUCAGGGACGAAAGCUAGGGGAGCGAAUGGG